rnacentral:lncRNA from 1 species
UUGGAUAGCAAUAAGGCACAAGGUAAAGACGAAUUCCUUUUUAUAUUCUACUAAACAUUUUGGGAAACUCUUAAAGAAGACAUCAUGCGAAUUUUUCAAAAAUUAUUUGACGAGUGAACAUGUGACGCCCCGACUUUCUAGGGGGUUACCCAUCUUAGGACUACUCCCGUCCUAGCACAUUUAACUCUCUUAAUCUCUUAGGCCUAGCCAUCGCCCAAAAUGCUUAAGACGGGUUAAGAGUAUUAGCCCUAUUAUGUCUUAUAUAUCUAUAGACUAUCUGGGGUCUCACAUUCUCCCCCCCUUUAAGUCUUGACGUCUUUGUCAGGUUCGGAUUCACAAAUACUAGGCGAUAUGAGACUCGUCUCGCAAGCCUUAGCUGACCUUGCGGUGAGCCGCACUCUACCCAUAACAGUCAACAGUAUGAGAGCCUCGCACUCUCUGCUGUAUAACCUGGCUCAGUCGACACUCAUCUCAUACUUCCGACAGGUAAUUAGCUCUAAUACCAACUGUGAUGCUCCGGCUUCUCGAGGGUCACCCAUCCUAGGACUACUUCCGUCCUAGUACGCUUAAUUCUCUUAACCUCUUGGGCCUAGCCAUCACUCAAAAU